CACACAAAGACGUGACUCUCCAGGUCGUCUUCAACAAAACACGUGACUCCACCUGUUGUUCUGGAGGUUGCUGUUCCACUCAAACCCGUGGUGCCAGUGAAGCCCCGCCUCCUGCCGCCGGCGUCCAGCACCCACAUCUCCCCCCACCCCAACUGCGCCGCCGCCGCCAAACCGCCGCAUCACAGAGCCGUCGCCCUGGCAACUGCUCGCAACAGACAAGCUCCUCCUCCUCCUCCUCCUCCUCCUCCUCUUCACCCCCAUCAACCAUCAAACCCUCACAGAGUGGAAACGUCUCCUCUCUGAGGAGCCUGGAGAACCACAUGAAGGAGUUGAUGAGAGGGACCCAGACUUCCUGCUCUCCUUCAGGAUCAACUGUAGAUAAACGUGCCUUGCUCGACAGCACCUCCGCUCAUUGUGUUCUGGGGAAGUGAACAACAGACCUCUGACCAGCAGCAAUUUUAGGUGUCUUUGUGGACCUCUCGGACCCUUUACCGGGUCCUCAACAAGACCUGCAGGAACCUCUGUAGAACUCUACCGGACCUUCAACAGGACCUACCGGACCCUCUGUAGGACUCUACUGGAUCUUCAACAGGACCUACCGGACCCUCUGUAGGACUCUACUGGACCUUCAACAGGACCUACCGGACCCUCUGCAGGACUCUACUGGACCUUCAAC
ensembl:lncRNA